GACGAAGGGGGCUAGCGUUGCUCGGAAUCACUAGGCGUAAAGCGCAGGUAGGCGGUUUGGUAAGUCUCUUGUGAAAGCUCCCGGCUCAACUGGGAGAGGUCAAGGGAAACUACCAAGCUAGAGUGUGGUAGGGGAUACUGGAAUUCCUGGUGUAGCGGUGAAAUGCGUAGAUAUCAGGAGGAAUACCUAUGGCGAAAGCAGGUAUCUGGGCCAUCACUGACGCUGAGCUGCGAAAGCUAGGGGAGCAAACAGG
rnacentral:rRNA from 1 species